rnacentral:lncRNA from 1 species
UCUUUCAAUAAUGUUGGUGUUACGAUAAAUGAUGACGAACAUAUCACAUCAAUGUCAGAAUUCAGCGUCUAUAAAGAAACUCCUCGGAGUAAAAUAUUUUUAAUAAUUCGAUAUCGAAACCAUCCUCAGUCGUUCGGGCUGGAAUACACAAGCGGUCGGCUGAGAAAUUACUCGUCUCCUGACAGGGAAACAUUAUUGGCUGGUUUGCUAGACGGUGUUAGAGCCAGUUGAAACAUAGAUGUUUGCGUAAAAACGACCCCAACGAAGAGAAGUACUGUACGCUUAUUCAUAGAUGAUUGAGCGAAAAUUAUGGUCAAAAUUUUCCUGAUGAAAAUCUCGUACUGCUAUGAUUACCCUAAAUACGAUCCCUCAUUUCAUUCUCCUGCUGACGUAUGUGAUCUCAUAUAACACACCAACAAUUACACUUCU